rnacentral:lncRNA from 1 species
UAGUAGAACUGCAUAAGUGUUGUCCUCCACUAUCGGAGGACCGAGUUUUUAAAUCAGUGGAAUUAGAGUAUGAUAGCUAAGGAGAUGGAGAAAACACCUGUCUCUGGAUUACAUCUUCAAACUAAUGGCAACCAUGGCAUCCGUGACAGAGAGGGAGAAGUGUCCAUCCAUGUAUAUGGCUCUCUUUAUCUCUGACAGGAGCGUCUGAGUGAGCAUCAGGGACAGUCUUCAACCCAUCUCUCCCACAACUGACGCCUCCACAGAUAAUUGCGUUUGAAGAACCUCCCUUGCUUAAGGGGGACCUAUUAUAUCUCCAUCGCCAUGUGACACGCUGCAACACACUUCAUUUACAGUGCCUUCAGAAAGUAUUCAUAACCCUUAAAUUAUUCCACAUUUUGUUGUGUUACAGCCUGAUUUAAAAAUGUAUUACAUAUCUUUUUUUACUCACCCAUCUACACACAAUACCUCAUAAUGAUCAAGUGAAAACAGGUUUUCAGAAAUGUUUGCAAACUUAUUGAAAAUUAAAUACUGAAAUAUCUAAUUUCCCUAAGUUUUCACUCAAUACAUGUUAAAUACAUGUACAUGUUAAAAUCACCUUUGGCAGCAAUUACAGCUGUGAGUCUUUCUGGUUAAGUCUUUAAGUGCUUUGCACUACUGGAUUGUUCAAUAUCUGCACAUUACUGUUUUUAAAACUCUUAAAACUCUGUCAAGUUGGUUGUUUAUCAUUGCUACAGUAGAUACAGUAGCCAUUUUCAAGUAUUGCCAUAGAUUUGAGCCAAUUUAAGUAAAAACUGUAACUAGGCCACUCAGGAACAUUCAAUGUCAUCUUGGUAAGCAACUCCAGUGUAUAUUUGGCCUUGUGUUUUGUCCUUCUGUAAGGUGAAUUUGUCUCACAGUGUCUGCUGGAAAGCAGACUGAACCAGGUUUUCCUCUUGGAUUUUGCCUGUACUUAGCUCUAUUCCAUUUCUUUUUAAAACACUUUUAAAAACUCUCUAGUCCUUGCUGAUGACAAGCAUACCCAUAACAUGAUGCAGCCACCACCAUGCUUGAAAAUAUGGAGAGUGGUACUCAAUGAUGUAUUGUGUUGGAUUUGCCCCAAACAUAACAAGUUGUAUUCAGGACAAAAAGUACAUUUCUUUGCCACUUUUUUUGCAGUAUUGCGUUAGUGCCUUCUUGCAAACAGGAUGAAUGUUUUUGAAUAUUUUUAUUCUGCACACUCUUCAUUCUUUUCACUCUGUCAUUUAUGUUAGUAUUGUGGAGUAAUUACAGUGUUGCUGAUCCAUUGUUUUCUUCGAUCACAGCCAUUAAACUCUGUAACAAUUUUAAGAUCACCAUUGGCUUCAUCGUGAAAUCCCUGAGCAGUUUUGAUCCUCUCCGGCAACUGAGUUAGGAAUGACAAAGGGGUUGAAUACUUACUGACUUAAGACAUUUCAGCUUUCCAUUUUUAAUGAAUUUCUUUAAAAAACUCUAAAACAUAAUUCCACUUUGACCUUGUGUGUAGGCCAGUAACACAAAAUCUAAAUGUAAUUUAUUUUGAAAUCAGGUUGUAACAACAAAAUUUGGAUAAAGUCAAGGGGUAUGAAUACUUUCUGAAGACAUUAACAUAACUGUGAACAUGGUUAUUUCUCCCUAUCGGCAGUCAGAAUGAGGAGUUAGGAGGGUGGGAUCAUGCUAAAUGCAGAGGUGGGGGUGAAGGAUGGGAUUAGGGCAUGCUAGAUGCAGACAUGGGCGUGGAGGGUAGCAUUACGGC